rnacentral:rRNA from 1 species
CCAAUAGCGUAUAUUAAAGUUGUUGCAGUUAAAAAGCUCGUAGUUGAAUUUCGGGAUCAAAUUGUUGGUCGUGCUUCGGUACGCACUGGCAUUAUUGGUUCCUACCUUCUGAAGAACCGCGAUGUCAUUAAUUUGGUGUCGUGGGGAAUCAGGACUGUUACUUUGAAAAAAUUAGAGUGUUUAAAGCAGGCGUACGCUUGAAUACAUUAGCAUGGAAUAAUGAAAUAGGACGUUUGAUUCUAUUUUGUUGGUUUCUAGGAUCGACGUAAUGAUUAAUAGGGAUAGUUGGGGGCAUUAGUAUUCAAUUGUCAGAGGUGAAAUUCUUGGAUUUAUUGAAGACUAACUACUGCGAAAGCAUUUGCCAAGGAUGUUUUCAUUAAUCAAGAACGAAAGUUAGGGGAUCGAAGACGAUCAGAUACCGUCGUAGUCUUAACCAUAAACUAUGCCGACUAGGGAUCGGAUGAUGUUAAUUUUUUAAUGACUCAUUCGGCGCCUUACG